GAAAUGCGAUAAGUAAUGUGAAUUGCGAAUUCAGUGAAUCAUCGAAUCUUUGAACGCACAUUGCGCCCGCCAGUAUUCUGGCGGGCAUGCCUGUUGAGCGUCAUUUCAACCAUCAAGCCCCCGGCUUGUGUUGGGGACCUGCGGCUGCCCGCAGGCCCUGAAAACCAGUGGCGGGCUCGCUGUCACACCGAGCGUAGUAGCAUACAUCUCGCUCAGGGCGUGCUGCGGGUUCCGGCCGUUAAAAGCCUUUUUUACCCAAGGUUGACCUCGGAUCAGGUAGGAAGACCCGCUGAACUUAAGC
rnacentral:misc_RNA from 1 species